rnacentral:rRNA from 1 species
UACAGGGGAUGCAAGUGUUAUUCGGAAUUAUUGGGCGUAAAGAGCGUGUAGGCGGUUUGGUAGGUCCGCUGUGAAAACUCGAGCUCAACCUCGAGACGCCGGUGGAAACCAUCAGACUAGAGUCCGGAAGAGGAGAGUGGAAUUCCUGGUGUAGCGGUGAAAUGCGCAGAUAUCAGGAAGAACACCCGUGGCGAAGGCGGCUCUCUGGGACGGUACUGACGCUGAGACGCGAAAGCGUGGGGAGCGAACAGG